AUUGAACGCUGGCGGCAUGCCUUACACAUGCAAGUCGAACGGCAGCACGGGAGCAAUCCUGGUGGCGAGUGGCGAACGGGUGAGUAAUAUAUCGGAACGUGCCCAGUCGUGGGGGAUAACGUAGCGAAAGCCACGCUAAUACCGCAUACGAUCUAUGGAUGAAAGCGGGGGAUCGCAAGACCUCGCGCGAUUGGAGCGGCCGAUAUCAGAUUAGGUAGUUGGUGAGGUAAAGGCUCACCAAGCCGACGAUCUGUAGCUGGUCUGAGAGGACGACCAGCCACACUGGGACUGAGACACGGCCCAGACUCCUACGGAGGCAGCAGUGGGGGAAUUUUUGGACAAUGGGCGCAAGCCUGAUCCAGCAAUGCCGCGUGCAGGAUG
rnacentral:rRNA from 1 species